AGAGUUUGAUCCUGGCUCAGAACGAACGCUGGCGGCAGGCUUAACACAUGCAAGUCGAACGCAUCCUUCGGGGUGAGUGGCAGACGGGUGAGUAACGCGUGGGAACGUGCCCUUCAGUUCGGAAUAACCCAGGGAAACUUGGGCUAAUACCGGAUACGUGCGAGAGCAGAAAGAUUUAUCGCUGAAGGAUCGGCCCGCGUCUGAUUAGCUAGUUGGUGAGGUAAUGGCUCACCAAGGCGACGAUCAGUAGCUGGUCUGAGAGGAUGAUCAGCCACAUUGGGACUGAGACACGGCCCAAACUCCUACGGGAGGCAGCAGUGGGGAAUAUUGGACAAUGGGCGCAAGCCUGAUCCAGCCAUGCCGCGUGAGUGAUGAAGGCCUUAGGGUUGUAAAGCUCUUUCGUCCGGGACGAUAAUGACGGUACCGGAAGAAGAAGCCCCGGCUAACUUCGUGCCAGCAGCCGCGGUAAUACGAAGAGGGCUAGCGUUGUUCGGAAUCACUGGGCGUAAAGGGCGCGUAGGCGGCUUGAUAAGUCGGGGGUGAAAGCCUGUGGCUCAACCACAGAAUUGCCUUCGAUACUGUCUGGCUUGAGACCGGAAGAGGUAAGUGGAACUGCGAGUGUAGAGGUGAAAUUCGUAGAUAUUCGCAAGAACACCAGUGGCGAAGGCGGCUUACUGGUCCGGUUCUGACGCUGAGGCGCGAAAGCGUGGGGAGCAAACAGGAUUAGAUACCCUAGUAGUCC
rnacentral:rRNA from 1 species